AAUUUGUACAACUAUGCAAUACCCCAACCACUCCAUUUCAAAAUGAACUUCGUACGAACCUGAAUUGUCCAAUUUGAUGGACCAAUUGAUAUCGGAUUGAGUCCAAAACUUGGGGAACAUCAUAAUAUGAUGGGAGGAGUCAUUUGGUGUCUUUUGACUGAAAUCCAGUGGCUAAAACUAUGCAAUACACGAACCACUCCAUUUCAU
rnacentral:lncRNA from 1 species